AUGAGAAUCUAACGCCUGAUGACCUAUCACUGUCUCCCAUCACUCCCAGAUGGGACCGUCUAGUUGCAGGAAAACAAGCUCAGGGCUCCCACUGAUUCUACAUUAUGAUCAACUGCAUGGGGUCCUACAGGAGAAGACCAAGAGACAGAGACAGAGACCAGGGAAAAUGACCGAUACCAUUCCUUCUCAGGGAUGCUACACACCCAUGGGGCAGAGGAUAAGAGGUUCCUGAAGGCAUCACCCCUCUGGCCAUGGCUGGUGUGCAGACAAAGCUGGAGAUUUGGAGUAGCCUGUUGUCCCACUGACUCUUAGACUGCCCCAGCUAAGAAGAACCAACUCCUCCUAUUACAGAUGAAAUAAACAAAGCUACUCAAGCUCUCUGGCAUCGCCCUGACGGUCAUCAUGUGCUUCACAUUUCCCUCCUGCCCCCCCUGAUUUUCUGGAAAAGGGAGAAACACACCAAAGAGAGUUCUAGAAAAAAUGAGAAUAAGAAAUUUACCUGUAAUCCUUGCUCAAGAAACUGAAGCUCUGAGGCCACAUUGUUCCAGCCUUUUGCAGCUCCUGCAUGUGGAUACCAGCACCAGCAGCUCCCCGACCAGGGGCCCCAGCUAAGCCCUCCCAGAGGAUGAUCUUGGCUUUGUACAUGGGGUGUCAAUAUCCUGUGAGUCCAACAGAGGGAAGACAUAAGAAUAUGGUCACCCAGGUAAGUGGUGGAUAGCUGAGUGACUGUAUUCUUGCUCACCACCACCCCCAUCAGAGGGGGUGUCUUUGUUUCUAGUUGGGGGAAGCUUUGGUAGACUGUCAGUAAUUCCUCCCUGUGUCCCCCAUCCUGUGUCAGGUAACAGACAUUUGUCUUAAUGUAUUCACUGUGUCAUCAGAAGCCACUUCUUAUC
rnacentral:lncRNA from 10 species